AAUACAAACGAAAAAAAAAAAAAAAAAAAAAAACAAGCACUUGAGGCGCUCUCCGAAUUGUGACAAAUAAACAUAAAUAAACAAAUUAAAUGUGCGACACACUCUUGAGCAGAAAAGCAAAAGAAGAAGCAGAAGGCAGCUGUGCAGGCACGAAAAUGCGUUUCAUAUGACGGCUGCCACAAAUGUAACCGAAUAUGUUGAUGACUAUUGGCCAUAUAUGCAUGCAUGCAUGUGUGUGUAUGUGUGUGUGUGUGUGUGUGUGUUUGCUUAGUCAUAACUGUGAGCUGAGCUGCCUUCUGGCUUUGCAGAAAUAACAUUGGGCAUAAAGCGGCAACAGACGUCGGGGCGUAUGCGCAAUGCGAUGCUUGAGUGAAUGGCGACUAAUGAAUGGACUCGACAUUCUAAACCAGGCAACAUAAAUGUGAAAUAGCGGGAGUGGGACAGGGACACGGAGAGAGUGUGAGAGAGAGAGAGAGUUUCUCGGGGGAAACUUAUCAGUGUCAACGUUGUGCCAAUAAAAACUAUACCAGCAUGCAAAUAUGUCCACAAUCAAACAAAUAGCUGCUAACAGCAGCAGCAGCAGCACAAUACAAGCAAGCCCGAGAUGUUGGCCAACAAAUUCUGAGGAUCCCCACAGGACGAGCAACAACAACAACAACAAGAGCAGCACAAAUGGAACAUGCAUAAGGCAUGCGGAAAUAAUGGUAAAGAGCAAAGCGACAACCAACAAAGAAAAAGGCGCAGCACAGAAAGUGAAGCGCUCCAAGCUGAAGAAGAAGAAGAAGCAGCAGCAGCAGCAGCAGCAGCAGCUGCCUCACGUUUUCCUGUUUCGCCACAGGACAACGGCAUAAGAGGACACACAACAGGCAGCAGAUCAUGCAUUAUUCUAUUCGAUUUCGCUUUAUAUUACCUCCCUCUCGUUCUGAGCUUCUGAGGCUUCGGUUCCUUUCGAUUUUGAGUUGAGCCAGGCCAAUGCAUGCAGCUGGAUCUCUGAGCUCCACCUCGAACUCCAGGCUAGUGUAAGGCGUGGGGUCUCAGCUGCUGACUUCCACUCGAAUUCUAGCCAUCAAUGAGCGCCUGCAAUGUGAUCUUAACUACAGAUCUUCGCUCGCAAAGUCAAUCAAUUUGAAG
rnacentral:sRNA from 1 species